CCUCGAUGAUGAGAUAAUGGAAAUAGAUGACGAGUCCUAUAAUAUCCAUUCCAUUCAUCGUGAGGACAAUCGAGGCAUUUGUCUGAGAGGA